rnacentral:rRNA from 1 species
UACGCAGGGGGCUAGCGUUGUUCGGCUUUACUGGGCGUAAAGCGCACGUAGGCGGAUUGUUCAGUUAGAGGUGAAAUCCCGGAGCUCAACUCCGGAACUGCCUUUAAUACUGGCAAUCUAGAGUCCGGAAGAGGUAAGUGGAACUCCUAGUGUAGAGGUGGAAUUCGUAGAUAUUAGGAAGAACACCAGUGGCGAAGGCGGCUCACUGGACCAGUAUUGACGCUGAGGUGCGAAAGCGUGGGGAGCAAACAGG